rnacentral:rRNA from 1 species
UACGAAGGGGGCUAGCGUUGCUCGGAAUCACUGGGCGUAAAGCGCACGUAGGCGGAUUGUUAAGUCAGGGGUGAAAUCCUGGAGCUCAACUCCAGAACUGCCUUUGAUACUGGCGAUCUCGAGUCCGGGAGAGGUGAGUGGAACUGCGAGUGUAGAGGUGAAAUUCGUAGAUAUUCGCAAGAACACCCGUGGCGAAAGCGGCUCUCUGGGACGGUACUGACGCUGAGACGCGAAAGCGUGGGGAGCAAACAGG